UACAGAGGGGGCGAGCGUUGUUCGGAAUUACUGGGCGUAAAGGGCGCGUAGGCGGCCCGCUAAGUCGAACGUGAAAUCCCCAGGCUCAACCCGGGAACUGCGUCCGAUACUGGCAGGCUUGAAUCCGGGGGAGGGAUGUGGAAUUCCAGGUGUAGCGGUGAAAUGCGCAGAUAUCAGGAGGAACACCGAUGGCGAAGGCAGGUCUCUGGGCAUUAACUGACGCUGGGGAGCGAAAGCAUGGGGAGCGAACAGG
rnacentral:rRNA from 1 species